rnacentral:lncRNA from 1 species
UUCUUUACCAUCAUCCGAUGGAGGAAGCAAUUUUGAUUGCUUCACAACAAUUUCUUCAUUACUCUCCUUGAUCUCGCUUCAGAUCUAGAAUGGUGGUUCCAUUGACCACACUAAUAACACAAAUCAAAUUCAAUUUACCGCACCAACUAUACCGACAUCGCCAACUCCACCUACCACUACAGCUACUCCAACCCAUUUACCACAUUAACCACACACAUGAAAACUCCAAAUUACUUUAAACCAGAUGAAACUGCCGGGUUGGCUAAAGAUAAAGAAGGAGCCAGGGACGCUCUUGAUAGUGGUAUCGAUGUUAUUGAGAAAGAUGAACGUUUGGAGCACACAUUGAAUUUUGAGGCCAUCGUAGCAUGCGAGAGGUAUUGCUCGAAGGUUGCCAUCACACUUCUUGAUUCUGUAAGUGUCAGAUGUAGUGAUUUUUGACCAAUGGCGCGAUGGAG